GACGAACGCUGGCGGCGUGCUUAACACAUGCAAGUCGAACGAAGUGGCGAACGGGUGAGUAAUACGUGAGUAACUGCCCUCCUUUUUGGGAUAAGCCUUGGAAACGGGGUCUAAUAACGAAUAAAGGGGGAUGGCUCGCGGCCUGUCAGCUUGUUGGUGGGGUAGUGGCCGCCCACGGCGCCGACGGGUAGACGGCCUGAGAGGGAGACCGGCCACAUUGGGCGUGGCUACGGCCCCAACUCCUACGGGAGGCAGCAGUGGGGAAUAUUGCACACUGGGCGAAACCCUGAUGCAGCAACGCCGCGUGCGGGAUGACGGUCUUCGGGUUGUAAACCGCUUUCAGCCAUGACGCGGUAGUGGCAGAAGAAGCACCGGCUAACUACGUGCCAGCAGCCGCGGUAAUAC
rnacentral:rRNA from 1 species